UACGUAGGGGGCAAGCGUUGUCCGGAAUCAUUGGGCGUAAAGAGCGUGUAGGCGGCCAGAAAAGUCCGUUGUGAAAACUCGAGGCUCAACUUCGAGCUGUCGGUGGAAACUUUCUGGCUAGAGUCCGGAAGAGGAGAAUGGAAUUCCUGGUGUAGCGGUGAAAUGCGCAGAUAUCAGGAAGAACACCCGUGGCGAAGGCGGUUCUCUGGACAGUUCCUGACGCUGAGGCACGAAGGUCAGGGGAGCAAACGGG
rnacentral:rRNA from 1 species